rnacentral:rRNA from 1 species
UACGUAGGGGGCAAGCGUUGUCCGGAUUUAUUGGGCGUAAAAGGCUUGUAGGUGGCCACGCCAAGUCGGAUGUGAAAUCUCCCGGCUCAACUGGGAGGGGUCAUUCGAUACUGGCGGGCUCGAGGCCGGUAGGGGGAAGUGGAAUUCCCGGUGUAGUGGUGGAAUGCGUAGAUAUCGGGAGGAACACCAGUGGCGAAGGCGGCUUCCUGGACCGGUUCUGAC